UUUUUAACCGAAACCAGACUUCUUUUUUCAUUAAAUUCAUUGCAGACUCCAACAAUACAACGUCGGCGAUGAAGAUACACACAAUUCCAUUAUCUUGAUUUCAAUUUUAAUUAAUACUCUUUUCUAUUUAUUUUCCAUCAGACUCAGAGAAACAUUCACGUGCCUUGCUCUGUUUUUUCUCUCAUUGCCCAUUUCGUUUUUCUAUUUUAUUUUAUUUGCCUUUUUUGUUUCCCCUUUUUCGCAACCGAUUUCGCUUUUUCUUCUGGUUUCUGUUUGUUUGUGGGGAAAGAUUGUGGGCUGUUACGUUUUCUUCUUGUAUAUAAUAGUGGAGGGGCUUCUCAAUUUGAGAAAACAGAGAGAAAAUGGAAGGAGGAAAGCAAACCAGCUCUUCACUUGCCUCUGAUCUCUUUGGGGUCAAGGAUUCUUCUUCUUCUUCUUCUGGGAUUUUUGGUUCCAUGUUUCCGCCGCCUCCAAAGGUUGUGGGACAAGAGUAUUCUGGAACAGAGAAGAAGAUUAUAAGUGGAAAUCCAACUUGGACUGCAAAGAAUGGUGUUACAGAUAGAAAUGCAGUAGGAGGGCAAAACCAGAGGAAGGACGACAUCUCGUAUUACACGGACGAGAAGGUGCAGCCCUUUCACUACAGCUCCUCGAUAUACUACGGUGGUCAAGAUGUUUAUUCUCGACCCGAGACCGCUCAGAAUCCCGGGACUAGUUUCAACAAAGAUAACGGAGGGGAAGACGACUCGGGCAGUGCUUCACGAGGGAAUUGGUGGCAGGGUGCGUCGUUUAUUUUGCGCGAUGUGAUAAAAUAUGCAAUCUAGUAUUUAAAGAAUAAGAUGGAAUCCAUUGAUGGAAUGCUCUAAAUUAUUUUAUGAAUGCAUCAUAUUGACUAUUUUUUUGGCAGGAUCUCUGUACUAUUAAGACCUAAAUACAUGUAACUUAUUAAGGCAUAAAUAUAUUAAGCAGUGCUCCUUAUAAUGAAGAAACCAGAUGUUUGGUGACAGUUAUUAUAUCAAAACGCCAGCUUCUCUUAGCCGCAGUCAAUAUUUUGUAACUGUAGCCGAGUAAACUUCAUUUGUUCCCUUUUCUAUAAAUAGAUAAACCUCAUAAUAUUGUAGUAGUGGAGUACUAUAAUUCAUCCUUUUUUUGAUGUGCAAGAUAUAAUGAAAGAGGGAGUUCAAUUAUUUGUUA